CUUCCAGGGGUGAGACGGAGGGGAUAGACAGCAGACGAAGGGCACCGAUCGGUGAAGUAUUGUUGAAGCAAACUUUUAGGGUUUCGAAACAGGUUCAACUUACUUCCUGCAGUAUGACGGUGAGAGUUAUGGUCACUUAUUGUGGAGGAUGAGGGUACAAACCUAAGUAUCAGAAGAUCAAACAGACGAUCCUCAAAAAAUUUGCUGGUAGAGAAGUGAAAGUGCACGGAUUUGCAACACAAACUGUUACUGGUUAUUUAGAGGUAGAAGUGAAUGAUAAGCUUGUUCAUUCAAAAAAGAAUGGUGAUGGAUAUGUAGACAAUGACAGCAAAAUGGAUAAGAUUAUACAAGCAAUAGAUGCUGCUCUUAGCUAGAGGCUAAC